GCUCGGUUAGCUCAGUUGGUUAGAGCGUCGUACUAAUAUUAUACAACAUAGUAUAACAUCGGUAAUGCGAAGGUCAUGAGUUCGACCCUCAUACUGAGCA